AGCCAAGAAUUUUGUUCUCCAGUCAAGAAAUCUUUCUUUCUGUGUACGCCUAUCAAAAAACCCUCCCAAAAGCCAGCAAAAAAAUGACAAGUUAAUACACAUAACAUAAGCAUGUACAUAUUAAUCGCACGUGUAAAUUAAAGUGACAGUCAGCACUACAAGGAAGAGCCAAUACAACAUCUACGUCGAAUUUAGUUGUUAAUAUUGAUGUUCUAUAAGUGACUGUGCACAAUUAAAUAAAUAAAAGUGACUAGUCAUGAAGCUCUGCGAAUUGGUAUUGCUUAUAUCACCAUCGGAACAGAUAUAAAGACUUGAGAACCUCUGUCGCCUAUGAGGGGAUCCUAUGGCGCCGUGGGUUGAGACCAUACCAUCUACAUGUACAUAUAAAUGUAUGUAUGUAUGUAUGUAUGUAUGUAUGUAUGUAUCUAUUACUGAUACCGAGUCUGAGUAAUAUAACAUAAGAGCGUAAAAGCUACUGCUACGUAGAUAUUGGGUGUGUGUGCCGACUGGAGGCUUGUCAUGUGCGUAUACACACCAAACACCUUCACGGUGUUGUAUAGUAUCCAUCCUUCCAGUCACGCACAUCUGUUCGCUCCAAGUAUGAGUACAUACUGUGACACUAGGGAAGAAUUAGAAUUAAAAUUCGGUCCAGCAGAAGAGCAGAGACGAAGGAGACACAGAUAGUAGGCUUGAUAUUAUUGAGAUGAACAAUAGCUGAUAGGGAAAUUGAGAAUUGAGAACCGUGGCGAUGUUUGCGAGGCGAUUAGUAUAGCUGUCGCUUGUAUGUACUGUCUGACCCGCGCACAUCAGAUGUCAGCUGUCGUACUAUACACACCACACAUUGUAACGCACACAGUAACAGUGACGUUUAGUUUCGCGACCGAAAGAAUCAGCAAAUAACGGCCUUGUGCAUCGGAAUGGCAUCCUAUCAGCUCUCCUACUCCUACUCUAUAUCUUUACUUAAACCGCUGCUGUGUGCUGUGUGUGCUGCUAUUCUCAUACUUUCCUGCUCUACGUCUUUGUUUUCAGUUACUUUGACUUUGCUUUGCUAAUUAUUACAGUUACGUACUCCAGUGACAAUGCUGUCUUUAUUGUCAUUGGUAAUAAUGAUUAUUCUAAUAAACAAUUACUCUUGUUUUUA
rnacentral:lncRNA from 1 species